GACUCAAGCAAUUACACAUGAUAUGAAUAAGAGGCAUCAGGAAAAUGGUGGCCAUACUAUCACAAUAGUCAAAUUUUAUGAAAUCACGCCUAAGCACCCUUAGGUUUUCCACGACGAGAAGCAAAAGAGCUUGCUGGCAGAAAUUCAAGGUCGUAUGGCCUGCAUCCCAGAAAGCUAUAUAUCGAGAUCCACCUCAACUUUCUUCAUGCAUAACAACAGUGCUUUGUAAAGGGAACUUAUAUUUCUCCGAUUUUCAUGUCAACUGUGUGUAGGUUGUGGUCUGUGGUGUUGAUGGCAUGGCGGUGACGGCUCUCUGGUGAGAUAGGCUAUGGCAGCUUACCAUAUGUUGUGUUCUACAACGGCGAUGGCUUGGCGAUGGCUGUUCUUCGGUGAGAAAAACUUUUGCGUCUCGACAAAGAUUUGUCCGAGCGUAAUGAUGUGCUUGACGAGUACAAGAUGGCUAGAUAAACUAGUUAUGUUCGACAGACAGAGGAGGCUAUAGCAGUAACAGCUAACAAGGGAAUGAGGUUGCGGAAAUGCAAGCUAGCUACU
rnacentral:lncRNA from 1 species